ACUUUCUCGUCCUCUCCCCUUCUCUUAUCUUCUUCGUCUUCCUCAAAAUCGCCCUAACAACGCCAGAUUUCUCAACUGUCGAUCGAGUGACAAUCAUGCCUGCCUGCUUGACAAAGCCUUUUCGGUCUACCAAUAAAGGAAAAACGAUUGCUGGUGACACGAAAGCUGUGCUCAACGCUCUUUUUCCUAUUCCACUGCGCGUCGUGGUCUUUCCCUUGCUGGUUGGAUGACUACUAUGGAUGAAGAGCACAACUACUUCCAGUCUCUGGUCGAUAAGUACCCAAGGAAGGUAAAUUCCAGCGGAGAAAGUCGAGAGCUCCUUAGUUGAUCACAAAUCCUUCCAAAUUCUUUGUUCGUAGACUAAUUUGAAAUCCUUCCAAUAUGGAUCCAUGCUGUCUUUUAUAUCCAUAAGAUACCAAUUAGAUUGUGUUAAUUAUUGUUUAUAAGAAAAUAUUUGUGUGCAGAGUUGCAGUGGGUAAAUCUUAAUGGCUGGCAGAAAUUUGGUUCGGGA
rnacentral:lncRNA from 1 species